rnacentral:misc_RNA from 1 species
AAAUGCGAUAAUUAAUGUGAAUUGCAGAAUUCAGUGAAUCAUCGAGUCUUUGAACGCACAUUGCGCCCCCUGGUAUUCCGGGGGGCAUGCCUGUCCGAGCGUCAUUGAUGCCCUCAAGCACGGCUUGUGUGUUGGGCUUCCGUCCCUGGCAACGGGGACGGGCCCAAAAGGCAGUGGCGGCACCAUGUCUGGUCCUCGAGCAUAUGGGGCUUUGUCACCCGCUCCCGUAGGUCCAGCUGGCAGCCAGCCUCGCAACCAAUCUUUUUAACCAGGUUGACCUCGGAUCAGGUAGGGAUACCCGCUGAACUUAAGC